rnacentral:rRNA from 1 species
UACGUAGGGCGCAAGCGUUGUCCGGAAUUAUUGGGCGUAAAGAGCUCGUAGGCGGCUUGUCACGUCGGAUGUGAAAGCCCGGGGCUUAACCCCGGGUCUGCAUUCGAUACGGGCUAGCUAGAGUGUGGUAGGGGAGAUCGGAAUUCCUGGUGUAGCGGUGAAAUGCGCAGAUAUCAGGAGGAACACCGGUGGCGAAGGCGGAUCUCUGGGCCAUUACUGACGCUGAGGAGCGAAAGCGUGGGAGCGAACAGG